GUAAAGCAGAUAUUUUGAUUCCCUUCAGUUUAGAAAUGGGGAAACGGAGGCUGCUGGAGCCCUGAAGACCAGAGCUUCAAGGAAGAAUCUGUGGGGACACGCUGAGCCCUCGCUUCUUAAAGUGCGCGCCUGUGGACGGGAUGAAAGAUUUCGUGGAGACGCACAUGGGUAAAUGC